UGUAUGUGGCUCAGUGGUAGAGUUACUGCCUACCAUGUGGAAGGGCAUGGGUUCAAGUCCCAGCAUGACAA
rnacentral:tRNA from 1 species